UUUAAAAUUAUCAAACUUGAGCAAUUUCUUUUUAAAAUAUAGCAAAAUAAAUCUAUAUGAACCUCUUAGUAAUCUCUUUACUAUAUAAGUAAUCAUGCAAUUUGCAUGAAUUCUCAUCUUCUAUCUUAUUCCUAAAGUUAUUAUUUAUGACAUUUACAGUUGAAAAUGAUUUCUCAUUUGUUGUAUUUGAAAUUAGGAGAAUUAAUGGUAACGAAAGCAAAUGAUGGUCGGAUGAUAUACAGGAUUUAUUCAAUUGUUUGGUGAUGCUUCGCAUGAUUGAGAGUUGUUGAGAUGUUUUUGAAAUUAGGAUAUUGAGAAAUGUCGACCUCAUAAUAUCUUUGCUUCUAUGUUGAAAUGUGGCUCCUCUUCUUGAAUGAAAUUUACUCUAACGGAAUCUCUAUACCAAUUCACAAAUAUGAUCAUAACUUGUAAUCAUCUCUUAGAAUUAAGUGUCAAUCACUCCACUGGGGUCUCUGAUUCAUUUUUGGUGAUUGAGCAUUUAUGGUAGAUUCAUAGCGAUGAACAAGUUAUCAUGAUAAUGAUGCUCAUUUCAAACAUGUUCAAGAUUUGAAAGAGGUUUACCUCGUCCAGGAUCCCCAUAGAGCUGCAUUGAAUUGUGAUGCCGCCGUCCUGCUGCUUGAAUAUGAAUGUGUUUGACCAGUUAUGUUAUAUGUAAAGAGCUA